GCCAGUGCGAGAGAGCAUGCCCUUUCUCUAACGCCAAUCUGUUGACAUAAAAUUUUGUCUCAGAUUGGAGGUGCUGGAGCGAGGCAAUGUCCAAUGGGUCGAUGACGGUCGGACCUACAAAAAAAGAUCUCACCGAAGGUGGCUCCGGCGAAGAUCCUCCGACGCUCAAGUUAGAUUCAUGCGCAACAGAUAGGAAAGAGCAUU
rnacentral:lncRNA from 1 species